AUAGAAACUUCUGGCCUCUGGACACUGUGGGAGCAACUUUUCCUUUAUUAGACUGUCUCCUCUUUAACUGAAGAUACUUUAGCACAGCAAGCAUCUCUUUUAUGCUUACAUUAUGCAGUUAUGCAGACUUGGUGUACGUCCUUCAAGGACAGUCUAAGAAUCUUUGAUUCUAUUUCUGCUGGAUACAUUGUUGCAGAGAUGUAAGAAGGAAGGACUUAGAAAAGAAUAUUGCAGCAUGACUGGGAAGCCUGUCCUUCAUUACUUCAAUUGAAGAAGAAGAAUGGAGUCCAUCCGGUGGCUCCUGGCAGCAGCUGGAGUAGAGUUUGAGGAAGAACUUUUUGAAACCCAUGAAGAGUUUGAGAAGUUAAUCCAAGGUGGAACCCUGAUAAGAGAAGGAGAUGAACCUUGAAUACAUCCUCCACCGAGCUACAACAAGAUUCUUCCCCGUUUAUGAGAAGGCCCUGAGAGACCACGGGCAAGACUUUCUUGUGGGCAAUCGGCUGAGCUUGGCUGAUGUCCAGCUCCUUGAAGUCAUCUUAAUGGCUGAAGAAUGCAAAGCCAGUGUUCUCUCGGGUUUCCCUCUGCUACAGGACUUCAAGGUGAGAACCAGCCAAAUUCCUACAAUUAACAGCUUCCUCCAACCUGGAAGCCAGAGGAAGCCUCCUUUGGAGGAGCGAUCCAUUGGGACUGCAAAGGACAUAUUCAAAUUUGAAUGAGGACUGUUUCUUAAAAACAUGAGCAAUAUAGUAGCUGAGUAUUAACAGCUACAGAGGCUGGAGUUACUCAGUAAGUAUACUGAGUAACUUGACACUGCAUUCAUAAAAAGACACUCACUAAGUAUAUGGCCAGAGAAAUAUCCUGAAGUUAGUAAUAAAUGUUAGGAAUCUUAGUAUGUUAGCAAUGUUAGAAUGUUAGUAAUGGAAAUAUUAAAUGUGUAAGAGAAAAACUACUAGAAGCUUAUCAAUAAACUACAAGAACCAACUCUUGUUUGAAGUAAGACAGGCUACCAAGACAGAAUUCAGAAAAUCCAAGGAGCCCUCGGCCUUCUGUAUGAUCCUAGAAUAAACUUGUAUGUAGCAAGUGAAA
rnacentral:lncRNA from 1 species